AUGGAUACCAGUCAGGUUCUUAACCUGCCAAGCCACAACAGAAACCCCCCGGCUGUGCCUUGAACAUCCUCGAUCCACAGAGAUGAGGCUCAUUGUCUCCUUAGAGGAAAGUGCCCAGCUGUCCUGGUGCUUCUCUUCAACUUUGACCCCUUGGAGCUGAACCAAAUCAGAGCUUGACUCCUCUGACCAUCCUCUGUGGAACCUGUGGGCUGAAGCCUGCACCAAGGCCGACUCCCAGGCCAGGUGCACUGUCACGAGAAUCCUAACUUCCAGGGAUGAACGAGAGGAUGCAUAUUAUCUCUUGUCUUAAUCUGGCCUUGCGACAGCAAAGCCACUUGGGAGGAAACAGGAUGAUCCAAACCCCGCUAGAGGGAAAAUUCCAAGAGUGGAUUGUGGAGGCAGGACCCCAAGCAAUGAUGUAGCGUCCUGACCCUCUCGAUACAUAAAGGUAAAAGCAAGAGUCUGGUCUUCCCACACUUGCUGUUCCAUUUUUCCACCAGACUCCUGGCCCCCCAUAUCCUCUGAAUAUGAUCCAGAAUAACCGUGAUGAUGCAGACUCACUAGUGGUGGUUGUUGACCAUGAGCUUGCAGAAGAGCAAAGAAGCUCCCAGUCCUGGGAUGGAUGCCUGGAAGGGGCAGCGGCUAUGGGAACAUGGCAGGAGAAGUAGAACUGCUGGAUCACAGAGUAAUUGUGUGUGGAGUUUGCUUGAGGAACCGCUGCACCGCCCGUGCUGUCAUUCUGAGUCUGCAGAGGAGGCUGUGGUCUUCAUCUCUGUCUCCGCAGCCCGACCCAGCAGUCUGUCUGGCACAGAAGAUACUUAGCAUCUUUGACUUCAUGUUCUGAAUAUGGAUUCUUCAUGUUCUCAUAUGUGUGCUGAGCGCAGUGGGCAGAGAUCUGUGGGUUCUUUAUGGUCUCAGGGUGUAUCCUUCGAAAAGUCUCAGGGUGCCUGGAGGUCAGCGGGUAGGGGCCAGUCUUGGCAGGACUUUGCUGAGGGAUUUGGACCAAGUCCUGGAGAAGGUGAGAGACUUAAGCAGAAAACUUAAGCAGAAGAGGGACACAUACCAAAUUUUGGCUUCAGUAGAUCAUUCUGGCCGCCUUGUGGAAAGUAAAUCGGAGCAGGGCAAGAAAGGGUGACAUUCUCAGAGAGGGGAGAACUGUAUCCAUGUACCCCGCACCUACCACGCACAGGCCACUGCAUUAAGAAAUUGGAUUGUUGGAGUUCCCUUGUGGCUCCCUGGGCUAAGGAUCUGGCAGUGUCACUGCUGUGGCUCUGGUUACAGCUGUGGUGUGGGUUCCAUUCCUGGUCCAGGAACUUGAAUGCCGUGGGC